rnacentral:lncRNA from 1 species
CACCCCCAUGCUUUGAAGAAAUUCAUGGUUAAAGUAAGCUAUGUCUUCUUCUUCAAGCUCAUUGUGAGCGAAGGCAAGGCCGUAUUCAUACACAAGAGAAGGCUCGAGGCCAGUUUUUGAUAGCCACGAGAACCAAUCCAUAGCUUUUGUGUGCUUCAAUGUUUUCGAGAAGUGUGUGUGUGUAUAAUGUAGUGGAGAGGCAAUUGUAAAACAAGAAGGAAAGGUGGAGUUGCUAGUAGACUUGGACUUUUCUUCAGGAGCUUAGCUUUUUUAUUUUUUUAUUUUAUAAAUUGUUAUG